rnacentral:rRNA from 1 species
CAUUACCGAGUGCGGGCCCCUCGGGGCCCAACCUCCCACCCGUGUUGCCCGAACCUAUGUUGCCUCGGCGGGCCCCGCGCCCGCCGACGGCCCCCCUGAACGCUGUCUGAAGUUGCAGUCUGAGACCUAUAACGAAAUUAGUUAAAACUUUCAACAACGGAUCUCUUGGUUCCGGCAUCGAUGAAGAACGCAGCGAAAUGCGAUAACUAAUGUGAAUUGCAGAAUUCAGUGAAUCAUCGAGUCUUUGAACGCACAUUGCGCCCUCUGGUAUUCCGGAGGGCAUGCCUGUCCGAGCGUCAUUGCUGCCCUCAAGCCCGGCUUGUGUGUUGGGCCCCGUCCCCCCCGCCGGGGGGACGGGCCCGAAAGGCAGCGGCGGCACCGCGUCCGGUCCUCGAGCGUAUGGGGCUUCGUCACCCGCUCUAGUAGGCCCGGCCGGCGCCAGCCGACCCCCAACCUUUAAUUAUCUCAGGUUGACCUCGGAUCAGGUAGGGAUACCCGCUGAACUUAAGCAUAUCAAUAA